GACAAUAAAGAUGAUUAAAUAAAAAUGAUGGUAUUGUGUUUUGCAUUAUUUUUAGUUAGACAUUAUCUGCAACUGAAGUAGUUUGAUGUGCCUCACUAAGCUUGUGCACCACAGCCGAGGUAGAAAUACAGUUAAAUAUUCCAAGUGAAUUGUAUGUUAUACAACAUGAGUUGUGUUUUAAAGGAGAACUCAAACUAUUGUACACAUCACAGUCUGUUUUAACUUAAUUUGUUAGUAAGUGCACUUACUGAUGUUACCAGGCAACAUCUGAGAUGUUGCUAACAAAAUGGCACAGGAAAUGUCUGCUCAUCACUCUCUGUAUUUAGUGUUUGGGUAAACACAAAGAGUACUCCAAUGAUUUAGAAUUGAAGUUCUAUAACAUGGUCAGACUCGCAAUGGAAGGUAAAACAAAAAAAGUAUCAAAAUCGAUGCAUAACGUCUUUAUUCCAAACAUUUUUUUCCUUGUUAAAAUCUGAUGGCUACAUUACCCACAUUGCAACGCGACUGCCGACAGUUUGGUCGGAGAUUCAGGUGUGUUGUGCUAGUAGCGGCUAAUGUAGCCUUGAGCCGCUAGCCUCAUGCAGAGAUGAGGAGCAGCUACAGAGAUCUGGUAAGUAUACUUCUUUCUUACGCCACACCUCCCAGAUUGUUUUUUAUUUUCAAACUUGUAAUCUUCAGCCCGAACGGACGCUGACUCAAGUGACAUCACUUGAGGUAAUUUAUCACAAUUCACGCAGCUCCUUUUGGAAUCACAAAUGGCUUUAUACAAGUUUUUUUCCACAUAUGCAGUAGUACUCCCCAAGACGUGUAAACAGACUUUGAUGUGAAUAUCAGUGGAGUUCUGCUUUAUGGACUUUCAUACCUGGUGACAAAAGUGCAUAAAACUUAAGUUGUCAAGAAAUGAUGAUUAAGUAGUUGUUUUUGCCUGUAUUCUGGAAUUGUUAUUAAUUGAUCGAUGCACUUUUCCCUUACUAAAUGCUGCCUUUUUUGAUAGCCAAGAGCCAAUAACUUCAUGCAAGGGCCAUCACGCCCGUCACAUCACCACUGCACCACCUGUGUGAUGUUUCCCGUUAUCGCCUGAGCACAUUAACAGCCUGUCAACCCCACAUAGGCAAUUUACACCAGAGGCCAGAUCCAACACCAAUCUGUGAGUCACCACAAGUGUCUGAAUCAAAGCCACAUUGGACUCUUCUGGUAACAAGAAGACAGACAUUAUUUUAUGUCUAGAUAACUCAACAGAAAUGCUGCAGUAAUUGACAGUCUACAUACACACGGCUGUUUCAGCGGACUACUCGUUUCACUAUAACCAACUACUUAGACUGAUUACAUACUGACGAGUUUGACGACUGCUGAGUGAAUAGG